rnacentral:rRNA from 1 species
GGGGAAUCUUGCGCAAUGGGCGAAAGCCUGACGCAGCGACGCCGCGUGGGUGAUGAAGGCCUUCGGGUUGUAAAGCCCUGUGGGGAGGGAAGAAUAGGCGGCAGCUAAUAUCUGCCGUGAUGACGGUACCUCCUUAGCAAGCACCGGCUAACUCUGUGCCAGCAGCCGCGGUAAGACAGAGGGUGCAAACGUUGUUCGGAAUUACUGGGCGUAAAGCGCGUGUAGGCGGUCAUGCAAGUCGGGCGUGAAAUCCCUGGGCUCAACCGAGGAAGUGCGCUCGAAACUGCAUGACUGGAGUUCCGGAGAGGAUGGUGGAAUUCUCGGUGUAGAGGUGAAAUUCGUAGAUAUCGAGAGGAACACCAGUGGCGAAGGCGGCCAUCUGGACGGAAACUGACGCUGAGACGCGAAAGCGUGGGUAGCAAAC